rnacentral:tRNA from 1 species
GGGCGUAUGGCUCAGUUGGUUAGAGCGCCACGUUGACAUCGUGGAGGCCGCAGAUUCGAAUUCUGCUACGCCCA